UGGAGGUGGGGAUUAUGAUUGGGAAAAUGGAGAGAAGUCUGGAAGUGGGAAGAAUAAUGAUGGAGAGGAAGAUUAUAAAGAUAUUUUAGUGGGUGAUUUCAACGGCAAAAAUGCGGCUGUAACCUGUUCUCAAGAAUGUUACCAGACACUGGUAUCAGUAGGCCUGCUACUUUUGUUGAUCAUUGGUGAUUAAUAUUUUCUGUUCAAGAAACGACCAAUUCACUAUAUAUUACGUCAUGGAUGAUGUCACGGGAUACCAUGGUGAUUAGUCGUCACAUCGAAUACUGAUUUUACUAUUCCAAUAUUUUUCCAAGUCAUUCUUCGAAUAGUCUAUAAAUUUGUAGAUGUUUUCUUUUAUUUAUAUACAGACCUGUAAAUCAAAUUAAAAACACUUAUAUGGAUAUACUACUUCUGAAUUUAUGAACAUGCUACGUUUCGAUACACAUACAGAUAUCGUUAUCAAGCAAAUAAUGAUAUUUAGCAAAAAAUG